AAAGAAAAUAACAAACUUUAGAUUUUUAUUAUGGCAAUGACUUUGAUACAAGUGUGUGGGCGAUAAACACACCGCACGCCUGCACGCCAACCACAAUUCUUCCACUUCUCGCCAGCCCGCGUCCACUCUUCUCUCUCCCUCUCUCUCUAUCUAUGAUGACCUCCCCCAAAUCCGGCAAGCCAGUGGAUCUGAUGGUGGCAUGGACUCUCCUUUCCCCCUCUCCCUCGGACCAGCGACCUCCUUCACAACUCCGGCGAGUGGAUCCGGUGGCGACAUGGAGGAUUCGGUCAGAUCCAAACGACGACCAAUGCAGAUCCGGUAAGGUAUGUUUCCUCAUCCUCCUCCUUAGGGUUCCGAUGAGCUCCCUCUCAUCUUCCCAAACUCCAGCGGCCUUAGAAGCAAAGGGGCAAGGGGAGGAAGGGUAGCCAGGCGGUGGGGUUGCGGCAGGCGGUGUAGGGGUCCUGACGAAGGUGGAGGUGGCCGGGCAAGGUCAUGGUGGGGGAACCAUGGCCAUGGUGGCAGCGACGGAUAAGGGAGGAAGGGGAAGAAGGAGGUGUCAUGGGCAAGCUAGGAUUUUGCCGAAGUUCCAAAGUCAUGGCUGCGGCCAUGACCCGCGGAGCUCCGACAAAACCCUAGAUCAUCGCGGCUAUAGAUGGCCAUAAGGCUCACAGCCCAUCAACAUAGCCCAUGGCCCACUGUUUUGGCCUAGCCUAGGCCCUUGGGCACGUGCUGACCUAGCCCAACCCGAUCAACCACCUUUAUUUACUUUCCAUAUAUAUAAAUAUAUGAAAACCCUAAUUUACUUCUUAGAUUCCCUUCCACCACAAAUCUAUUUGGCUAUUAUGUUGUGCGGAGUAGGUUGCACACCUUCCUCUUCCCCAACGCUACUCUAAUUUCUCUGCUCCCCUCCAGCGUGCAUCCCAUAGCCACACGUGCUUUCCCUCUUGCAGACGCCCACCUCUCUAGCUCUGAUUUCUUUGAUUCCUCCACGGAUCCUGCUGCCUCCGUGGAUCUAAUGCGCGACGCACAACACCGGCGCCAACUGUAGCACGCCAAGCUCCAACAUCGGCGUCCCCAGGUGAGCAACAACAACAAGCUCCAACAUGCGGAGCCCCUCUAUCUCUACCUAUGCCUGCAAGAACGACGACCUCAACUAGCGCGGGCAACAACUGCACGUCAAGCCUAGCAGGUCGUCGGGCUAUCCCGGCACAACUCAUCCCCUUUAGGGUCAUGCUUGGGUCAUUGGUGCAGCUCAUGGGCUGGCACGGAACAGCCCAAUGCACCUAAUGGGCCGUGCCGACUUGCUGACCUCUAGGACGUGCCAAGCAUGGGCCUGUGCCGUGUCGAGCCAGGCGGCUCGAAUGGCUAUCUAUAGUCGCGGUGGUAGGGACGAGGGUCACCUACGAGGUAGAAGGUGCCAGUGAGGAGGAAGAAAGGGAAGGGGGCGGCACGAGAAAAGCGUGCUUUAGCCACAUCUUUUUUUUGAACUUUUAGCCACAUCCUUUUAUUAUAAUAGAUCGAUAUAAUAAAGUUGUUGCUUAUAUAUUCAAGCUAUUUUCUACUAACACUGGCGUGCUAGAGUUAGGUAUUUUUAUCUAAAAUCCUAAUUUUCAAGAAUCUUGUUAAAAUAUUUGGAAAAUAUUUAUUUAAUUUCGCUGAUCAUAUGAAACCCCACUGUGCUGGCUAUUUUAGCAGAGCAGAGUUAACACCAUUGUCGGUUUGGAACUCUUGAUCGGCUCGGGUCGGCUGGAGCCAAGAACAGCACUGGAAGAAAGGUCAUCUCUAGAAGAUUGGCGCUGAUUAGAAGCAAAAAGACAGAGCCUUGUCCUGCCACGUAAGGACGGCACCAGCCAACUUGCCAGGUCAUAGCCACAUAGGGGCGACGCCAACCAACUUGCCCGGUCACAUUUCAGGUAUGUACCACACCUUCUCCACUCGCUUUCUUCCCUAGCGCACCGUGGCCCCGCACAAGUAUAACCCCACGCUAAAGUUGAACAUGCAGCCCGCGGGCCAAAGGCAUGGCCCAAAGCACGGUGAUUUGGUCCGGCCCAAGCACGGCACGGCCCGACCUCAAUCGUGCCCGUGCCGGCCCGAAGCACGUAGCGGGCCGUGCUUGGGCUGACCUCUCGGCCCGCCGGGCGGCACGGUGUCGUCCCGAUAUUAGGGAACUUGUGAAACUUGAAGUAUCAAGUUCUAUGACCUGUGAAACUUGUGACUUUUGGCAAGUGAAAUAUGAUUUGUG
rnacentral:lncRNA from 1 species